AAGCGACUUAGUUAGGAGGCACACAUUAAUUAGAUUCAAAUUUGUGUUUGAUCUGUUCAUAUAAAUGCCUUUUGAAGGACUCUUUAAGUUUCUUAUUAGUUAUUCCUCAAGUAGUUUUUCACAUUU
rnacentral:snoRNA from 1 species